rnacentral:tRNA from 1 species
GGCUGAGUCUGUGCUCAGAGGCAGAGUGCUCGCCUAGCACGUGUGAGGUACUGGGUUCGAUCCUCAGCGCCGCCU